UCAUGGCUCAGGACGAACGCUGGCGGCGCGCCUAACACAUGCAAGUCGAACGGAGUUAAUUCACCUGAAGUUUUCGGAUGGACGGAGAGUUAACUUAGUGGCGAACGGGUGAGUAACGCGUGGGUAACCUGCCUUUUAGAGGGGGACAACAGUUGGAAACGACUGCUAAUACCGCAUAAGACCACGGUACCGCAUGGUACAGUGAUCAAAGGAGCAAUCCGCUAAAAGAUGGGCCCGCGUCUGAUUAGAUAGUUGGUGGGGUAACGGCCUACCAAGUCGACGAUCAGUAGCCGGACUGAGAGGUUGAUCGGCCACAUUGGGACUGAGACACGGCCCAGACUCCUACGGGAGGCAGCAGUGGGGAAUAUUGCACAAUGGAGGAAACUCUGAUGCAGCGACGCCGCGUGAGGGAAGAAGGUAUUCGUAUUGUAAACCUCUGUCUUCGGGGACGAUAAUGACGGUACCCGAGGAGGAAGCACCGGCUAACUACGUGCCAGCAGCCGCGGUAAUACGUAGGGUGCGAGCGUUGUCCGGAAUUACUGGGUGUAAAGGGAGCGUAGGCGGCUCUGCAAGUUGGAAGUUUAAUCUAGGGGCUCAACCCCUAAUCGCUUUCAAAACUGCAGAGCUUGAGUGAAGUAGAGGUAGGCGGAAUUUCCGGUGUAGCGGUGGAAUGCGUAGAUAUCGGAAGGAACACCAGUGGCGAAGGCGGCCUACUGGGCUUUAACUGACGCUGAGGCUCGAAAGCGUGGGUAGCAAACAGGAUUAGAUACCCUGGUAGUCCAUGCUGUAAACGAUGAUUACUAGGUGUGGGCCGAAAGGUCCGUGCCGCAGUUAACACAAUAA
rnacentral:rRNA from 1 species